GUGGGGAAUAUUGCACAAUGGGGGAAACCCUGAUGCAGCAACGCCGCGUGAAGGAUGAAGGUUUUCGGAUUGUAAACUUCUUUAGUCAGGGACGAAUAAAUGACGGUACCUGAAGAAUAAGCCACGGCUAACUACGUGCCAGCAGCCGCGGUAAUACGUAGGUGGCAAGCGUUGUCCGGAAUUACUGGGUGUAAAGGGCGUGUAGGCGGGAAUGUAAGUCAGAUGUGAAAUCCCAGGGCUUAACUCUGGAGCUGCAUCUGAAACUAUGUUUCUUGAGUGUCGGAGAGGAAAGCGGAAUUCCUAGUGUAGCGGUGAAAUGCGUAGAUAUUAGGAGGAACACCAGUGGCGAAGGCGGCUUUCUGGACGAUAACUGACGCUGAGGCGCGAAAGCGUGGGGAGCAAACAGGAUUAGAUACCCCAGUAGUCC
rnacentral:rRNA from 1 species